rnacentral:tRNA from 1 species
GAUUAUUUAUUUUAUAAAAAAAAUAAGUGUUUUGAAAACACUAGAAAAGUUAAAAAACUUAAUUAUCA